GAGACGGAGUCUCGCUCUGUCGCCCAGGCUGGAGUGCAGAGCGCAAUCUCGGCUCACUGCAAGCUCCACCUCCCGGGUUCACGCCAUUCUCCGGCCUCAGCCUCCCAGGUAGCUGGGACUACAGGCACCUGCCACCACGCCCUGCUAAUUUUUUGUAUUUUUAGGGGAGACGGGGUUUCACCGUGUUAGCCAGGACGGUCUCGAUCUCCUGACCUCGUGAUCCGCCCGCCUCAGCCUCCCAAAGUGCUGGGACUACAGGUGUGAGCCACCGCGCCUGGCCUUUUUUUUUUUUUUUUUGAGACAGUCUCACUCCGUCACGCAGGCUGGAGUGCAAUGGCACAGUAUCAGCUCAAUGCAACCUCGACCUCCCAGGUUAAACUGAUUCUCCUACCUCAGCUUCCCUAGUAGCUGGGACUACAGAGGCGUGCCACCACACCUAGCUAAUUUUUGUAUUUUUAGUAAAGACAGAGUUUCACUAUUUUGGCCAGGCUGGUCUCAAACUCCUGACCUCGUUAUCUGCCCACCUUGGCCUCCCAAAGUGCUGGGAUUACAGACGUGAUUGAGCCUGGCCAGGGAGCAUCUUUUGAGCCCAAGAGGCUGCAGUGAGCUGGGAUCGAGCCACUGCACUCCAGCCUGGGGGACAGAGGGAUACCCCGUGUCCAAAAAAAAAAAAAGAUAUGCCAUUUCAACACAGAACAUACAGACAUAAAGGAACAGGCAUGCAGAGCAGAGGUCUGAGCAACGUUGUUCCAAGCAGGAGGAAUAGUGAAUAAUAAAGUCCUUGAGGUGGGAAUAAGCUUGCAGUGUUAGAGGAGCAAGCAGUCAGCGUGGUUCAAGAAAAGCAAAGAGGAGACUAGUAAUGAGAUGGAGAAGCAAGCAGGAGCCAGAUAAAACAGCACUUUAUAGGUCAGAGUAAGGAGUCCUGAAACCUCUGGAAAGGAUUCUAUGAAGGGAAGGGAUGAAGAGAUCUCUCUAGCCUGUUCUAGCUGUUCUUACAAACUGUAGGAAGACCAAUUAGGGCUCUAUAGCACCCCACAGGAAAGAUGACAGUAGGGUGGGAUAUGGUGGGACAUGGUGGUGGAGAUGGUCAUAAAUGGCUGGAUUCCAGGCAUAUUUUGAAAGGUAGGACUGACACUCUGGCAGAUGGACUAAGUGGAGAUUGUGAGAAAGAGAAUCAAAGAUGGCUUUUAGAUUUUUGGCCUGAGCAAAUGGAUGAAUGGAGAAACUAUUUAAUGAACCAUGCAAGACUGGGAAAGGG
rnacentral:lncRNA from 1 species